UUUGUACUCCCUCUGUCCCAAAAUACUUGUCGAAAAGAUGGAUAAAAUUGGAUGCAUCUAUAACUAAAAUAAUUCUAGAUUCAUCCAUUUUUUCAACAAGUAUUUCCGGAUGGAGGGAGUAAGUU
rfam:Triticum aestivum genome assembly, contig: Triticum_aestivum_CS42_TGACv1_scaffold_392635_5AS